UGGGGGCGGGGCGGCCUGGCUCCUCUGUUCUCAGGAGAGAUCAGGAGUUUGGAUUUUAUUCUGAUUGUGAUGGGAAAUCACUGGAGGGUUUUAACGCAGGGACAAGGCUUGAGCCUACUUACACUUUUAAUAGAUUAUCCUGCUGUGUGGAGGAUGGAUUGUAGGAGAGCAGAGUAGAAGCAGGAAGACCAGUUGGAUCGGACCAAGCGCGGCGGAGGAGUGCUACCGGCCACCCCUGUUUCUUGGCUUCUGUCUCUGGAGGAUUGUCGUUCAGAGACCCUGGCGCUCUGGGAAGCGGGGAGAAAGUGAGAAUAAGUGGUUUACCUUGUACAUGUGGUGCCCCAGGAGUCAGAAGCCCAGAUGAGGGAGAUCAGCGGAGUGUGGCCUGAAGGGGAGCACAGAGAUGCCAGCAGUGCGCCAGGAUCUGCCCGCCCUGCCCAGAGGCCCAGAGCUUAGGGAGGGGCGUGGCUCUCUUCCACCUGUGCUUCCCAGAGCUGGAUCUGAACUCAGGGCUGGCCCCAGGCCCUGCUGUUCUUUCCUCAUUGUCCUCAGGUUCCUUAGCUGAAAAAACUCAAGUCCAGGAGACUGAUCAGGCCAGAAGUUGAGGGCCUAAGCCAGCAGUGGGCACAUGAUUGAUGCACACUCUUCAUGUACUCCACUGCUGCCGGGCCCACUCUGCCCUGGCCACCAGGCUUGAGACCCCUACUCCCACCCACCCCUGCCAGGCACCGCCCCACCUUAAAACCCCUGAAAGGAGCAGCAGCCACUGGGGACACUGGACACAUGGGCGUGCUCUGCGUGGGCUGCCACCUGAAGCAGGGUCCCUUGGCCACAAGCUCCGGGGCUCUCUGUUGGUCCUUGCUGGGCCUGGGUUUGGGGCCCGGCCGAGUGGCUGAGCAGUGUGUGAGCCAUGACUCUGGCAGCUGCAGGGGUCCCUGAAGCCAUGAGCCCCAACACAGCGGCCUCUGUGUCAUCUGAGCUGUCAAGAAGGAUGAGGGGACAGGCCCAGGCACUGUUUGCAGACUCGGCCACCAGGUUGCUGAGUAGAACCCCAGUGCUUGGGGACAGGUGUCCAGAGCCGAAGGAACUGUUGAGCGAGGAGGUGAGAAGGAGCACAGAGCCGCUGCUGUCCACGGUGGCCAGGACACCGCUCCCGGGGGUGACAGCAGCUCGUAGGAGUGCUGGGCAGGGGGCAGGGCUGCGCCCCCCGGACUGUAGAGCUGCCUCCAGCAGUUCCAGGAGUUCCGGGCCAGCUGAGGGCCUGGGGGUGGUGAACAGGAUGCCCUGGGGCCCAGGUAGCUGCAGUGCUGGCUCCAAGGUGGGCAUGGGCCCAGCUGAGGGGCCCUCCAGCCCCAGGUCUCCGGCCAGCAGACUGAGUAGAGCAUCCCCGGCAAGGUCUGGGGCGGGGGCAAGUGCAGCCCGGUGGAGCACAGCUGCCAGUUUGGGGUUGGUGGCUCGGGCCCCAGGGCCCAGGGGAGUCCCAUCAGUGUGGCAGAGUAGGUUACAGAGGUCCUUUGUGCCCUGGGCUGCCAGAGCCCUGGCCAGGGAUGUGUCUACCAGAAAGCCCUCUUGAGCCAGCGUGGUGGGGCCUACCAGCAGGUGUGGCCAGGGCAGGCGGCCAAAGCAUGUGUGUAGCAAAUGCAGGGCAGGCAGAGCCGAGGGUAGCCCCAGGCGGGGGGCCAGGGUCUGGACUGGGCCUGACGUCAGGGUGGUUGAGUUGCCUGAGGAGCUAUUAUGGAAGAGGCCCCAGAACAUGGCACCUGGGAGGAGACAAGGGGUCACACAGGGGUCCGGGGCACUGACUGGUGUCAGGGGCACUCAGUAGUCCCAGGUGAAGGGUCACUGACUUAGCCUGGGGUUAGUGUUUACUGACUAGGCCUGGAGACAGGCAUCAAUAACCAGGCCUGGGGUCAAGAUCAUACUGAUCUGGGAUCAAGGGUUGCAGCCUAGGGUUGGGGCUACUGCCCAAGUCCUACGUCCUGCUCACCAGCCAGCCUUGAAGGCCAGGGGCCACUGACUGCCUGAGUUCCAAGUUACUGAUCAUGCCCAGGGUUGGGGUCGCUGGCUGGGGUUGUGGGUCACUGACCUAGCCCUGUGGCGUGAGGAUGCACCACCGCCAGACACAAAGCUGCUCCAACUCCAGCAUCCAUGACGUUGCCCCCGGCAACAAACAGCUCUGGACCCAGGUGGGAGCACGUGGCUGCAGCAAGAAAGGGACUGUCUUGGGACUGGGACCCGUGACCCCGGCCCCUUCCCUCCCCCAAGCUGCUCCUAGCGCCGACCUGUAGGGCUGAUGAUGCCGCCGCGGUGGUACACGCCAGGCCUGUGGGAGUGCCCGCUGGCUGGAGCGGCCCCAGAGCCCAAGGUUCCUGGAGAGGCACCGCUGCUGCGGAGUUGCCUUGCGGCCAGGGAGAAGCCAGCGGCCAGCAGCAGCAGCAGGGCAGCCAGCAGUUGGGCCCAGGCCCCGGGCAGACUGCCAGCCUUGUUCCUGCAGAGAGGGAUGUCCUGAGCCAGGACCAGGCAGGCGGACGCCCAAGAGCCCAGCAGACAAUUCCCAAAAGGUUUGGUCUUGCUUGCAGGAGGAGUAUAAGUUUGCCGAGGAGAAAGGGCCUCCUGGCAGAGGCCCCAGCAUGUCUGGAGACACAGAGAUGGGAAGGAGCUUGGGGGAAACUGAGUCUCUGGAGAGGAGGUUGGAGAGGUAGGUCCAGCCAGUCUGGAGGGACGCCUGAAGGGGGCUUGGCAGGCUUGAGGAGCAGGGCCCGGCCAGGUGUAGCCAGGACCAACCUGCCCAGCAGGUGCCUCGUGCACCAGGGGGUGGGAGCUGGGAGCCUUUGGCAGAGCAGCCGGCAGGGCUGACUUGAUACAAAUGUCCCUUCAGACGCACAGACCUUGGAUUGACUGGCACAGGCCAGGCCUGGGGCUGCAGCCGGGGGUCCCCCCACUCAACCAAGUUUCCUAGAGCUGACCAAGCACGGCGUUGUCUGGCGCUCCUUAGGGGCUCCAGAGGGAGGGACUUGCCAGCCUCAGUCCUGAGUUGCUGUGUGCCCAGACCCCUCCCUGACUCACCCAGAGGAGUCCUGGGGCCCCGAGGGAUCUGGAAUGAGCUGCUCCGAUAUCUCCCCCUCUUCCUCCUCAGACUCCAAGCUUGGUUCCCAGACCAGCAGCUUCUGGUAGAGCACAGGCCCUGCUGUGGGUUCCAUGGCCCACGGUGCCUGCCCGCCUUCCAGGCUGAGUCUUGGGAGGCCCUGCCCGAGCCUGAGCCGGUGGGUAGGAGGUGGAGGCACCCUUGGAGAAGUGUGGUGUGGAAUCUACAACAGGUCUGGGCAGGGCAUGGGGCCAGGGAGGCUGUGAGUGAGCCUGCCCCCCUAGGGCACAGGGCCCGAGGGGCUCUCGUGGUAGGGGACCCCAUUAAGGGAAGGAGGAGCCCAGUCCUAGGGCCACAGCCCCUGAGACCCAGGGCACCCGCAGGCCCCUCCCUUUAGGGGGUGCAGCCUUUGGAUCCCGGUCCUGUUAAGGCUCUAAUCUAGGGACGGGGAGCUUGAGUGAGAACUGCAGUACAUUGGCUUGGAUCAGGGCUCAGCAUGUGACUAGUUUCCGGUAUGGGGGUUUCUGGUCUCUGGCUUGGGUCAAGGCUCAGCCUGAGGCCACUCCAGGGGUCUGGGUUUCCCUAUCUGGGAAGCAACUUGGGUGGUGAAGGUACCUACCUCCCUGGGCACGUCAUGCGGCCCUUAUCCAGCAGGUGGCGCCAUAGGGCUCUUGGGGAGCUGCAGCCUGGAAACCAGGUGUUUCCAUAUUCCUUCACUCUGGGUUUCACUUCAAGGAGCAGUUCUGUGGGAAAAAUCAUAGAACUCCAAAGAGUGCUGCAGUCUCAUCCGUUCUCCAGUCAUCUCUCUGCUGACCACGCUCUACUAUGAGCGCCUCAAACCCCAAACCCUCUGCUGUCCUCUCAGCAGACCAUCUAUCCUCCCACUUCACAUAACAAAUCAAAGCCAACACAAGGAGCCCUCUAUAUCCACCUCAAACUACAAACCCACCUUCCACCCCGCUCCAAUGGAAAAGCCUAUUCCCUGCCUCUGGUUCUGGCCCCGACCUCUCCCACUUCUUACCUCCUGCUUCCCCAGGGACCUCACUCAGUGGCCCCCUUCUCUCCUGUAGCUUCACAUCUUCUCUGCUGGUUCCUUCUCAACAACAUUUAAACAGUGUCGAGUCUCCAGAAAUUCCUCUCCUAGGUAUGUACCCAACAGACAUGUACUAAAAUAUUCAUAGCUGCCCUAGUUGGAACAGCCCCAACUUGGAAAGCUCACACACCCAUUAUCAGUAGCAUGAUUGUAGUCACACAGUGCAAUACUCUGCAGUGGUGAGAAUGAGGGGUCUACAAUUGUAUGCAAUGAUAUAGAUGGAUCUUACAAAGACACGACGACUGAAAGAAGCCAGGGACGGAAGAGCACAUCCUAUUUGCUUCCCUCUGUAUAAAGUACAAGAACAGGUGAGACUAAUUUCUGCCAUUACAGGUCAGGAGGAGGCAGAGAGGGCUUCUGGGAUGCUUGGUGAUGUUGUUUCUCUGAGGUUGGUUGCUUGGGUUCCUGAUUGUGAAAGUGCAUCCAGCUGUACAUUUGUGACACAUGCACUUUUCUGGAGGUAUAUUGCAUUUCAAUAAAAAGUUUUUUUUAAAAA